ACGGGCAUUGCUCAGUACGGCGAGUGAAGCGGCAACAGCUCAAAUUUGAAAUCUGGCUCCUUCGGGGUCCGAGUUGUAAUUUGCAGAGGAUGCGUCGGGUACGGGUCCCUACCGAGUUCCCUGGAACGGGACGCCAUAGAGGGUGAGAGCCCCGUCUGGUAGGAUACCCAGCCCAUGUGACGCUCCCUCGACGAGUCGAGUAGUUUGGGAAUGCUGCUCUAACGGGAGGUAUACUCCUUCCAAAGCUAAAUACCGGCUGGAGACCGAUAGCGCACAAGUAGAGUGAUCGAAAGAUGAAAAGCACUUUGAAAAGAGAGUCAAACAGCACGUGAAAUUGUUAAAAGGGAAGCACUCGCUACCAGACUUGGGUUUGGCGGUUCAACCGGGGCCACGCCCCGGGGCAUUCCGCCAGCUCAGGCCAGCAUCAGCUUUCCGUCGGGGGCAAAGACGUCGGGAAUGUGGCUCCCCCUCGGGGGAGUGUUAUAGCCCGGCGUGUCAUACCCUUCGGGGGGCUGAGGUACGCGCUUCUGCAAGGAUGCUGGCGUAAUGGUAGCUAGUGACCCGUCUUGAACCCCCGGGACCAAACGUUUUAUU
rnacentral:rRNA from 1 species